AAAAAUUUGGUUAUGGUUUAGGAAAUGGUCAAGGUGAAGGCAUAUUUCAAGGUAGAGGAUUCGAGGAGGAAAACUUUGUGAGUCGCCUAGAGGGGGGAUUUUUGUCUCAAGGUUAGAGGUCUGUGCAAUCAAUGAAAGUUGGACAAGGUCGUUCAUAGAAAAACGUUGCGAAAUGGGGUGCCAGCAGCCGCGGUUAUUCCUCUUACUGGAAGCCAUUUUAUUUCGGCUAUGUGAGUAGAAAAGAAGUGUUCAUUUUGGCUGUCUCUUUUAGGUGAAAUUUAUGGGAGACGUAGUUUUUUUUGUGUGAAAGUGUUAUCCUCACGAAGCCUGGGUGAAAGGACCGGGAUUAGAUACCCCGUUACUCUAGGUGUCAAUUAAUAGCUGGGGACUACGAACUUUUGUUUAAAACCCUAAGAACCUGGCGGUGUGGUAUAGUCCAGACAGGGGAACUUGACGCUUAAUUCGAUGGUCCGCGUUUAAUCUCAUCUUUUCUUGUAAGAUCAGGGGUAUAUCGCUGUUUAGGGGGCGGAGAGAUCAGAAAGAAGCUUCCGAUCAAUGGUUGAUUUUUGUAUGGUUUGGGGGAAAACGCAAAAAUAGGUGACCACUGAAUUCAGGUAAGAUGCCCCCUAUGGAAAGAGGUUAGUUGAGUUACAGAAUUUUGGAUAUUCCUAGGUUUUCUAGGGGUUGAAAUAGGACUUGUUAGUAAAUGAAAAUUAGAACGUUUCGUUGAAUAGUGAAAUGCCAUGCGUACAAAUCGCCCGUCGCUCUCUUGGAAACCGGAGAUAAGUCGUAACACGGUAGGGGUAGGGGAACCUGUUCCUGGUUGAUAAAAAGAGCAGUCAUGCACAUUGUAAGAUGGUGAUUAAUUUUUAGAGUUUAUUG
rnacentral:rRNA from 1 species